UGUUUACACGAGGACGAUUUGACACAAAAUGUCAAUUUGGAUUCACGGUACGCUCGGUGGGGCGUUUCGAAUCGGCACAAAAAAUAACUGUCAUUUAGCACACCUCUUCCA